rnacentral:lncRNA from 1 species
CCAAAACCCAUGCAGGAGCACACAGGUGAAUGUGAGCCUCAGCUCUGCUGAAAGUGAGUUACCCCUCUGGUGAUGGAGCACUGGCCAGAUGGAGGACCUGUGGUCUGCCUGUGGGAGGCCUAGAACAGAGAGAGCACAUAUAUUAAAGCUAAUUUUAGUUGCUUUUCAAAUCUAAGCUAUACUUUUAUAUGUACUUGGAUAUUUUAAAAGCCUAAAUUAGCAUUCAAAGAACUGCUGACAAUUUUGGAUCCAGAUUUUGGUUUUAUUUGUCUUCGUGAAAAACUAAGAAUGUGCUGUGUGAGUUUCCAAAUUGGUGCUUCAUUCGGGGGAGUAAUGCAUCAUCUGGGCACUGCACUUUGAAGAACAUCACCGGCUCAGCUCUGGGCUAUUUCCGUGGUGAAAUCAUGAAUCCACUCCGACUGAAGUCCAGCCCUGCAUCACUUUCAUCAGGCUGGGGUUUUAUACCAGUCUUGGAAGCACGGUAGAGCCUUUAUGAGUAAAACUAAACGGCUGAAGCAGAAAGGAAAUGUUGGAAGCUUACAACACAGAAAAUCAAAAGUUGCUGGUUGAUGAGUUUUUUGUACUCUGCGCUGGGUCUUUACAUGCCAUGUUCUACUGCAAGGGUAAAAGUGAUGGAGCAGAGUGAGUAUCCAUCUCACAGAAGAAUCGACAAGCAGGAGUGUCAUUGUGAUACAAACAAACGGGAAGCCGUGACACGAGAAGAAAACUUCCUGCCUCCUCUCCUGGCUGUGUUUGAAGAAGGAACCCCAACGUGGCAAAAUGAAGCAAAUUUCUCCCACUGGAAGUGUAGAAGUCUCACCCCUGUGCUGUUUGGAGCUGGGACCAGCUGUACAACCUGCUGUGUGGAGAGCUAGUCCUGGUGGAAGCCAGCUUCAUAAUGGGUGUUGUAUGAAUAAUAAAAGACUGUUGUAAAUGCA